rnacentral:lncRNA from 1 species
UCAAAAUUCAAAACCUUUCUUAUCUCAACUUAAACCCCCGACAUUUCAUCCCCUCAAGACCCGCGCCUCCUAAAUCCCCCUCCAUCAUCUUUUUCUCUCGACACCUCCGGUCAUUCACUAUAGCCAUCUGGAGGUUGAAAACCUAAUUCAUGGAGAUUACGAACAGAGCACGGAUCAGGACUUGAGCAUAUCCAACAAGGCUUGAAGGUAAUGUUUAUACGACUUUGUGUUUUACUAUAUGAUUUUUAUGGUUUUUUCUAGGGUGCUCAAUGCCAUUCUCGCCUAGCCAAUCAUCACAAGAUUUCACAGGAGCAAGUUAUUGAUGUGGGCCCUAAGAACACAUUAAUAUCGGCUAAUGUGUGUAGCUUCCAGUUCUGUGAAGGGCAUUUUGGAUGGUUCAACCUCUUCUGUAUCUUCCUCACCAAUAAACAAUACCCCUUAGGGGAAGAGUUUAGUUGAAAACCUUCUCUAGCCCUUCCUGAAGCAGGGUUAAUGAAUCUUGGUAGAACUUGUGCAGGCGCAGGCCGCACAACCAAUAUACCCUCAAUGUUCAUCCCAGUUACCUCUUGUGGUAACAGGGUCGAGAGCUAGGAUUUGGUUGCCAUGACAAAAUGUGGCCUUCAGGCUAGAAAUUUGUCACUCAAGAUAGAACAAAUGGCAUCAGGAAGAAGAAACGAUUUGAAUGUUGUAUUAUCAUCUGUUGGCAGUGCAAAUGAUGUUAUAUAUACAACACUUUUUUACAAGUUUUAGAUGUCGCCUAAGCUAUUUUUAGCAGCAAAUGUGAUAAGAUUUUCAACAUUUUCUAGAGGCAUUUGAAUACAACCUCAGUGUACACAGGCUGUUUUUUAAAAAAUCACCCGCAUUUGAGUUUAGAUAGUACAAUACUACACUCACUGGUCAACAUUUGACUCCUUUUUGGGAACCAAAUAUUAUAAUUUCUGAUUUGAUGUUGUCACUAAGGUAGUUUGGAAGAAUAUAGGGCUCUAUAUAAUGUACAGUUAGUGGUGAAGCAUAAGCUCUCGAAAAAAUAUGAUGUUUUUAGCCAAUCUGUAAUGUUUUAUUUGAGUUUCUAUCUGAUUUUGUAGUUGAGGAGGUAUGAAGUGGUGAUUUAGACUCUUACAGCUGAUAAAGCAGAUACAUCCACAAGUUCUUCUUCUAGGCCAUGGAGAUCACAUAUUAUCAUUAAAUCCUACUUUUAUUUACGAAGGCUAGAUGAGGCGAUCUAGAGUUCAUACAAAAACAAGAGAAUUCAUACCAUGUUACAAAAAGUGAAGGAAAUACAACCCAUGAAUCAACAAUACCUUGAGCUGAUGCAAUACGUGAGCUUUUAUCUCAUAUAGCAAGAAAUGAAGCAUAUAAAUUUGGAAAGCAUUCAAAAGCAGUAGAACAUUAUACUGCUCCUUUAUCUUGCAGCUUUGAAUCUCCUCCAUUUGCAUCAAUAUACUUUUGCAAUCGCACUGCAUCGUACAAAGCUUUGGGUUAAAUCAUAGAUGGCAUUGCAAAUUGCAGCCUAGCUAUUGCCCUUGAUCUAAACUAUCUCAAGGUUCAUUUAUGUUCUAUCCAAUGCGUCAAAUGGGUUAAAUCAAAAUAUUUAUUUAUUUAUUUAGUUAAAAAGGGAAUGGGUGAACAGUUAUCUAAAGUGUUUUUAUUAUUUGUAAGAGGUUGUAAAACGAUGUAAAUUGAUUGUAAAAAGUUUAUGUAAGUAUAAGACCAUUAUGAUACAAUUUGGGCUUGAUAUGUUUGAUAAUGGUCUCAUUUUUAGUAUGCGUCAAAGCCUGCACAUUUUUCUUUCUUUCUGGUGUAUAUCGUUUAUCUUGUUGGUAUGCGUCAAAACCCGUACAGAUUUCUGUAUACCACAAGUAUAAGAGCAU